GAUGAACGCUAGCUACAGGCUUAACACAUGCAAGUCGAGGGGUAACGAGAGGGAAGCUUGCUUUCCUUGUCGACGACCGGCGCACGGGUGAGUAACGCGUAUCCAACCUGCCCCCAACUAGGGAAUAACCUUGCGAAAGUAAGACUAAUACCCUAUAAUUUCCUCAGAUGUCAUCUGACGAGGAAUAAAGAUUUAUCGGUUGUGGAUGGGGAUGCGUCUGAUUAGCUUGUUGGCGGGGUAACGGCCCACCAAGGCAACGAUCAGUAGGGGUUCUGAGAGGAAGGUCCCCCACAUUGGAACUGAGACACGGUCCAAACUCCUACGGGAGGCAGCAGUGAGGAAUAUUGGUCAAUGGGCGGAAGCCUGAACCAGCCAAGUAGCGUGCAGGAUGACGGCCCUAUGGGUUGUAAACUGCUUUUAUACAGGAAUAAAGUGAUCCACGUGUGGAUUUUUGUAUGUAUACUAUGAAUAAGGAUCGGCUAACUCCGUGCCAGCAGCCGCGGUAA
rnacentral:rRNA from 1 species